rnacentral:rRNA from 1 species
UGAUUGAAGCCUGGCAUUAAUGAAAGAUGACCGCGGACGGGUGAGUAACGCGUGGGUAACCUGCCCUGCACACAUGGAUAACAUACUGAAAAGUUUACUAAUACAUGAUAAUAUAUAUUUACGGCAUCGUAGAUAUAUCAAAGUGUUAGCGGUAUAGGAUGGACCCGCGUCUGAUUAGCUAGUUGGUGAGAUAACUGCCCACCAAGGCGACGAUCAGUAGCCGACCUGAGAGGGUGAUCGGCCACAUUGGAACUGAGACACGGUCCAAACUCCUACGGGAGGCAGCAGUGGGGAAUAUUGCACAAUGGGCGCAAGCCUGAUGCAGCAACGCCGCGUGAACGAUGAAGGUCUUCGGAUCGUAAAGUUCUGUUGCAGGGGAAGAUAAUGACGGUACCCUGUGAGGAAGCCCCGGCUAACUACGUGCCAGCAGCCGCGGUAAUACGUAGGGGGCUAGCGUUAUCCGGAUUUACUGGGCGUAAAGGGUGCGUAGGUGGUCUUUCAAGUCGGUGGUUAAAGGCUACGGCUCAACCGUAGUUAGCCUCCGAAACUGGAAGACUUGAGUGCAGGAGAGGAAAGUGGAAUUCCCAGUGUAGCGGUGAAAUGCGUAGAUAUUGGGAGGAACACCAGUAGCGAAGGCGGCUUUCUGGACUGCAACUGACACUGAGGCACGAAAGCGUGGGUAGCAAACAGGAUUAGAUACCCUGGUAGUCCACGCUGUAAACGAUGAGUACUAGGUGUCGGGGGUUACCCCCCUCGGUGCCGCAGCUAACGCAUUAAGUACUCCGCCUGGGGAGUACGCACGCAAGUGUG